rnacentral:piRNA from 1 species
UCUAUUGUUGCUGGUCUUACAUUGUCUAA